CGGAGGAACAUGUGGUUUAAUUCGAUGAUACGCGAGGAACCUUACCUGGGCUUUAAAUGUAGAGUGCAUUUUCUAGAGAUAGGAAUUCCCUUCGGGGCUUUUCUGCAAGGUGCUGCAUGGUUGUCGUCAGCUCGUGCCGUGAGGUGUCGGGUUAAGUCCCAUAACGAGCGCAACCCUUAUCGUUAGUUGCCAUCUGGUAAAGCAGGGGACUCUAGCGAAACUGCACCGUAAGGUGAGAGGAAGGUGGGGAUGACGUCAAAUCAGUACGGCCCUUAUGUCCAGGGCUACACACGUGUUACAAUGGCCGGUACAGAGGGCAGCUACCUGGUGACAGGAUGCUAAUCUCGAAAACCGGUCUCAGUUCGGAUCGAAGUCUGCAACUCGACUUCGUGAAGCUGGAUUCGCUAGUAAUCGCGCAUCAGCCAUGGCGCGGUCGAAUACGUUCCCGGGCCUU
rnacentral:rRNA from 1 species